rnacentral:lncRNA from 1 species
AUGGAUAUGUGGAUUUAGUGUCUUGAAAUCAAAUCUAUUCCAAUGGAAAAAUGUAUUAAAAAGAGAAAAUGUAUUUGUCCAGAGUUAUUCCACCACUACAAAUGUCAGACCAUGGAGGACUACUACAGCCAAAAUAUGUUCUGUGAGAUUUUGUUUAAUGUGAAUUAGGCCUAAAUGUGAACUUUUAUUGAUAGCUAAUGGAACUAACAGUAAACAUAUUUUGAAUUCUCCAGACAAGCCAUCUAUAUUAGCAAACUCCAGCUGCUCCUACCAUGCUGGCCAAGUCAUCUGCAGGUGUCAGGCCCGGGCUCGACCAAGGGCCAAAGUUCUGUGGAUGGUGGAUGGAGGACCCCUGUUCCCUGGCUCUGACCCAACCACCUCCCCCCAGAACCACACGGUGAUGGAUAUCUGGGCUGCAGAGGGCACCUAUGAAAAUGUGUCUGUCACCUGUCUGGUCAACAACACACAUGGCCAUGAUAAGCUUCUCCUGAGUGUAUUUGUGAAAGCACCACCCACCAAUGUGUCCAUCAGCCAGCUCCCAGCCCGGCCUCUGGAGGGAGAAAAGGUCACUCUGUCCUGUCUGGGUCACGGUCACCUCCCAAUCCGUUCCUACAGGUGGUACCGUGUGUUCGGGGAGCAGUCAGUCCUGCUUAGAGAGGAUUCUGUGAGUUUGAGUCUCUCUGUGACCAGAGACGUGGGGCAGUUCCGCUGUUCUGCUCUGAACGAGAUGGGAGAGUGCAGUUCAGACACCACGCCUGUGAACGUUGAGUGUAUGUAUCAUUAUGCCAUAAACGUUUCUGCAACCAUCUUAUAA